rnacentral:rRNA from 1 species
GACGAACGCUGGCGGCGUGCUUAACACAUGCAAGUCGAACGGUAAGGCCCUUCGGGGUACACGAGUGGCGAACGGGUGAGUAACACGUGGGUGAUCUGCCCUGCACUUCGGGAUAAGCCUGGGAAACUGGGUCUAAUACCGGAUAGGACCACUGCCUGCAUGGGUGGUGGUGGAAAGCUUUUGCGGUGUGGGAUGGGCCCGCGGCCUAUCAGCCUGUUGGUGGGGUGAUGGCCUACCAAGGCGACGGCGGGUAGCCGGCCUGAGAGGGUGACCGGCCACACUGGGACUGAGAUACGGCCCAGACUCCUACGGGAGGCAGCAGUGGGGAAUAUUGCACAAUGGGCGCAAGCCUGAUGCAGCGACGCCGCGUGAGGGAUGACGGCCUUCGGGUUGUAAACCUCUUUCAGCACCGACGUAGCGCAAGUGACGGUAGGUGCAGAAGAAGGACCGGCCAACUACGUGCCAGCAGCCGCCGCGGUAA